rnacentral:rRNA from 1 species
UACGGGGGGUGCGAGCGUUGUCCGGAAUCACUGGGCGUAAAGGGCGCGUAGGUGGUUUGAUAAGGGUGUGGUGAAAGUCCGGGGCUCAACCCCGGAUCUGCCGUGCCGACUGUCAAACUAGAGCACUGUAGAGGCAGGUGGAAUUCCGGGUGUAGCGGUGGAAUGCGUAGAGAUCCGGAAGAACACCGGUGGCGAAGGCGGCCUGCUGGGCAGUUGCUGACGCUGAGGCGCGACAGCGUGGGGAGCAAACAGGAUUGAGAAACCC